rnacentral:lncRNA from 1 species
GUGGAAGAAAUUUACAUGAUUCGAUGGUCCAAAUUCAUCCAGAACUAGAUUGGACGGCUGACAUUCAUUACCAGUUGAAAGAAAGAUUUUUGAGUGCUGAUCAACAGUCCAGAUCAAAUCCAAAGCAUGAUCCAAUGGUUGUGAUGGUUUCUGACUUUGAAUAGAAGAUAAAGAGCACAAUCCAAUGACCUAGAUUCUAUCCGAAGCCUGAUCGGAUGGCUGUGGUGGUUUCUAACCCUGAUAAGGAUUUAAAUCAUAUUUUCUAAGCUGAUCUAAGUGGUCCAAGUG